GACGAACGCUGGCGGCGUGCUUAACACAUGCAAGUCGAACGGUGAAGCGCCUUCCUUUUUGGUGGGUGUGGAUGAGUGGCGAACGGGUGAGUAACACGUGAGUAACCUGCCCCCUUCUUCUGGAUAACCGCAUGAAAGUGUGGCUAAUACGGGAUAUUCUGGGUCUGUCGCAUGAUGGGUCUGGGAAAGAUAUUGUUUCGGUGGGGGAUGGGCUCGCGGCCUAUCAGCUUGUUGGUGGGGUGAUGGCCUACCAAGGCGGUGACGGGUAGCCGGCCUGAGAGGGUGGACGGCCACACUGGGACUGAGACACGGCCCAGACUCCUACGGGAGGCAGCAGUGGGGAAUAUUGCACAAUGGGCGCAAGCCUGAUGCAGCGACGCCGCGUGAGGGAUGGAGGCCUUCGGGUUGUGAACCUCUUUCGCCAGUGAAGCAGGCCUGCCUCGUUUGUGGGUGGGUUGACGGUAGCUGGAUAAGAAGCGCCGGCUAACUACGU
rnacentral:rRNA from 1 species